AACGCUGGCGGUGUGCUUCACACAUGCAAGUCGAACGAGGUAGCAUACCUAGUGGCGGACGGGUGAGUAACGCGUGGGAAUCUGCCUUUAGAUGGGGGAUAACGGGUCGAAAGACUCGCUAAUACCGCAUAUGACGAAAGUUGAAAGGAGUAAUCCGUCUAAAGAUGAGCCCGCGUCCGAUUAGCUAGUUGGUAGAGUAAAAGCCUACCAAGGCGACGAUCGGUAGCUGGUCUGAGAGGAUGAUCAGCCACAAUGGGACUGAGACACGGCCCAUACUCCUACGGGAGGCAGCAGUGGGGAAUUUUACGCAAUGGGCGAAAGCCUGACGUAGCGACACCGCGUGAGCGAAGAAGCCUCUUGGGGUGUAAAGCUCUGUCAGCUGGAACGAAAAAAAUGACGGUACCAGCAGAGGAAGCAUCGGCUAACUACGUG
rnacentral:rRNA from 1 species